GACGAACGCUGGCGGCGUGCUUAACACAUGCAAGUCGAACGGAAAGGCCCUGCUUUUGUGGGGUGCUCGAGUGGCGAACGGGUGAGUAACACGUGAGUAACCUGCCCUUGACUUUGGGAUAACUUAAGGAAACUGGGGCUAAUACCGGAUAGGAGCUCCUGCUGCAUGGAGGGGGUUGGAAAGUUUCGGCGGUUGGGGAUGGACUCGCGGCUUAUCAGCUUGUUGGUGGGGUAGUGGCUUACCAAGGCUUUGACGGGUAGCCGGCCUGAGAGGGUGACCGGCCACAUUGGGACUGAGAUACGGCCCAGACUCCUACGGGAGGCAGCAGUGGGGAAUAUUGCACAAUGGGCGGACGCCUGAUGCAGCAACGCCGCGUGCGGGAUGACGGCCUUCGGGUUGUAAACCGCUUUCGCCUGUGACGAAGCGUGAGUGACGGUAAUGGGUAAAGAAGCACCGGCUAACUACGUG
rnacentral:rRNA from 1 species